rnacentral:rRNA from 1 species
AACGAACGCUGGCGGCGUGCUUAACACAUGCAAGUCGAACGCGAACGGGUUCUUCGGGACCUUAGUAGAGUGGCGCACGGGUGAGUAACGCGUAAGUUAUCUACCUCGGCAUCUGGAAUAACUCACCGAAAGGUGUGCUAAUACCGGAUACGUUGAGUAAUCAAGAAAGGUGGCCUCUCUUUGAUGCUACCGUGCUGAGAUUAGCUUGCGUACGCAUUAGCUAGUGGGUGGGGUAAUGGCCUACCAAGGCGACGAUGGUUAGCGGGUGUGAGAGGGUGAUCCGCCACACUGGAACUGGAACACGGACCAGACGCCUACGGGAGGCAGCAGUGAGGAAUAUUGCGCAAUGGGGGCAACCCUGACGGAGCGACGCCGCGUGGAUGAGGAAGGCCUUCGGGUCGUAAAAUCCUGUCAGGUGGAAAGAAAUGCAUAUGUGCUAAUACCAUGUAUGCUUGACGGUACCACCGAAGGAAGCACCGGCUAACUCCGUGCCAGCCGCCGCAGUAAAAC